rnacentral:rRNA from 1 species
UACGUAGGGGGCUAGCGUUGUCCGGAAUCAUUGGGCGUAAAGCGCGUGUAGGCGGUCCGGUAAGUCCGCUGUGAAAGUCGGGGGCUCAACCCUCGGAUGCCGGUGGAUACUGUCGGGCUUGAGUACGGAAGAGGCGAGUGGAAUUCCUGGUGUAGCGGUGAAAUGCGCAGAUAUCAGGAGGAACACCAGCGGCGAAGGCGGCGCUCUGGGCCGGUACUGACGCUGAGGAGCGAAAGCGUGGGGAUCAAACAGG